AAUGCGGUGUUUGACUUUUUAUUGCGUUUUUUUGAUUCAGGGAGUUAGUUACCUAGAGAGGAUAUGCUGAACACAGUUUAUCCACCAGCAGAGCAUAGUGACAACACAUAAUGACUUGGAUGUAGUAAAAAAGCUCCUACUUUGUUUGCAAUGAUGGAAUAGUCCACUAGUGUAUUACAACAGUAUUACAACUGUGGUGACACAGAACUGUCCUGUCCUAUGUAUGUUGUUGAUGAGCUUGAGAUCCACCAAAUGUAAUGGAGCCAUUUUGAAAAGAUAGAAGGUGGGCUAAAUUUAGUUACACAUGUGCAAAAAAAGAGUAUCUCCUCUAUAAUCUCCUGAAAUCCAUGGUCAUGCUCUGUAGAUGAGCAGAUUGAUUAAGAGCUGGUGCUAAUGUAAUCCCCUCUGUUUAAUUAGUGUGAGCAUGGUGGACAGUUAAAGCAAACCACAUUACACACCAUCUGGAUUACACACUAUACAGCCUCUCCAUCAUUAGUCUUUUACAACAAAGACACAAACAAGGACAUGUCACCUGUAGCUCUAUGUUCUCAGACUGGAUACAAACAAGAUUUGUUUAAUUGCACAGGUGAUAAACCGUCUUGUUGAUAGCAUAAACGGUGGACACUCCUGUCGGUUUGUCUCGAUUUCUUUCUCUGUAUCUCAGGUGUUGGUGACUGGUCUAUGGUCCACAGAGAGGGAUUCCAUCCAUGCUCUCCUCGGUGAUCUCCAACAGCUGUGCUCUCUAUAGGGACUAUGGAAACUACGGACCUCCCCCGUACUCCAGGAAGAACAUCAGACCCAGAGCUUCACUUCAACACAACGCAUAUAACCCAUACAGGCCAUACCUGAGAAGGGUGGAUACGAGAGUAUCUUUAGCCGAUCCCAAGAAAAUCUCCAGGGCCACCAGUAGGGGUCAGUAUGUCACCAUGCCUGUUUGCCAUCCAAGGCUACAUUUCUCUCCAAGACUGGCGCUAGGCAUGGGGCAGCCCCGGGCCAACACCAGACAAAGCCCACUGCCGGUCAGUCAGAGGCUCAUCCAAUCACAGCACAAAGCAAGGCAGACCAGGAGUGCUGGGAGCUGCUCCAGUUAUGAUACAAACUCCUGGGUUGAGAAAGGCUCUAGUAAACCUGAUAAAGGGAAGAAAACACUGUACAAGGUCACAUCUUCUUCUCCAAGAGUACAGGAGACAUAAUCCACAAGAGUUCCAGUUCUAAUGGUCGCCAGCAAUAUCGCUACUUCACCAAGGAUGGAAUGUGUCGCGGCUCGUCAUACAGCUCCAAGAACAAGAUGUGUGACCUGAUCGGCACCCUGUUGGAUCUGAAGUACAGCUGGAUCCUGUUUGUCUUCACCCUGUGCUACAAUGUCACCUGGACAGCAUUCGCAGAGCUCUACUUCCUGGAUGCCUGGCUGCGUGGUGAUGUGGAACACAUACAAACCCGCAAUGGCAGCCAUGCUUUGAGAAGCUGGACAGUUUCCAUUCGGCCCUCUCUAUCUCCAUGGACAGCCAAAUCAUCAAUGGCUACGGCACUAGAGAGGCCUCAGUCAACUGCAUGGACGGGCUGGUUCUCAUGAUGGCACAGUCCAUCAUUGAAUCAGUGUAAGACGUCCUGAUGCUGGGCUACAUCCUGGCUAAGAUAGCCAAGCCUAAGAGGAGGCUGCCCACUUUGUUGUUCAGUCAGCACUGUGUGGUCUGAGAGGGAUGAGAGCCUGUGCCUGAUGUUCAACGUCAGGACUUUGAAAGAGACACACAUGCUGGUGGCAGAGAUUAGAGCCAAGCUGAUCAAAUCUCACCAUACCAAAGAGGGAGAGUUCAUCCUGUUGGAUCAGAGAGAGCUGACUCUGCAGAUGGAACCAGAUGGAGCCAGGUUGUUCACAGUGGAGCCCCAGACCAUGGAGCAUGUAAUUGAUGAACACAGGCCUCUCUGGGGCAUCAGCACUGACUCUUUAAAGUGGGAGAGCUUUGAAAACCGUGGUCAUGGUGGAUGGAGCCAUGCAAGACGCAGGUUUGUACUGAGAGGCACAGCCUUCCAUGUGAGGACCUCCUACACUGAAUAUGAUAUUCUUUGGGGACCGCUUUAAGUCAUACAAGCCAUUAGAUGAGAGGGGGAUUGGGUCCAAUCACAAGACCUCUGAUAAGAACUAUAAGGUCCAGACUGCCACACACAGUGACAAAGAGAUGGCAGUGAGACAUAGACAUACGAGAUCUCCUGGACACGACACAGACCCUGUCCCCUCCAACAUGUCUACAAGGAAAGUACAUUACCAGUAUGUAUAUGAUCAAAUGUUACUGUGCAACUCAGUCAGUAAUACCUAUGGCACAGGAACUAGGAAACUUAGUAAGAAUGAGUUCUUUAUAUGGACGUUUGACAAGUCGGCAUAGAAGGGUUCAUCAAAGUGAUGAAAUCAAGACACACUGUACAUAUCCUCCAGAAUGUUUAUACAAUGUGAAUAAAUUAAUGAUGACCAAUAUCUAAAGCUGCCACAUCUUAUUUAUCAAACUUUCAGAAUACUUACAUUUGUACAUGUGAGCAGUGAGCACAGCAUGCCUUGUGCUAGGCAAACACUUGUGUGAUAUACAGUUACAAUUAUGCUGAUUUAAUGAGUUGUUAGUGGUCUCCUUACAGUAUGCGAGGAAUUACAAAAGUUUUUUUUGCCCAUACACCAAACUCUCCCGAUUUAAAUUAUGAGUGUCAUUUAAUGAUUGUAUUGUGGGGAACCAAUUUGAGAAAUGGAAGACCAAACUGACAGUCGCGCAUGACAAGACAAAUGAAUGUCAGUGUUACUGUCUCAUCACCAGCAAUGGGGAUAUCUCAUUCAUAUACCAUGCUAGACUCAUAUAUGUAUAUUACGUGGUAGAUAAGCUUUAGCAUUGGAGAUAGAUUGUGGCUUCCAUCAACAUAAUUGUCUGCAUCAUUUCCAAGCUACCAUAUGUUACGGUUUUCUUCUGGUGAAAGAGAGGAGGACCAAAAUGCAGCGUGGUUAUCUUUAUACAUCUUUAAUGAAAGAUGAAAAAUGAACAAUAUACAAAUACAAGAAACGUGAAAAACCGAAACAGCCCUAUCUGGUGCAACAAACACAGAGACAGGAACAAUCACCCACGAAAUACCCAAAGAAUAUGGCUGCCUAAAUAUGGUUCCCAAUCAGAGACAGCGAUAAACACCUGCCUCUGAUUGAGAACCAAUCUAGGCAACCAUAGACUUUCCUAGACAACUCUACUAAACACAACCCCAUAAAUCUAAUAAACCCCUAGACAAGACAAGACACAUAAAUCACCCAUGUCACACCCUGGCCUGACCAAAAUAAUAAAGAAAACACAAAAUACUAAGACCAGGGCGUGACACCAUAUAUAUAUUUUUGUAUAUGCAAACUGUAAACCACUGCGCAUUUCUAGUCUGCGUGUCAGCACACCAUAUUAGUCUGCCACGUCCACCUCAGGUCACAGUGUUCAGACAGACAGGCAGAAAGACAGACAGACAGGCUUAUUAGAGUGGGUUUGACUUGUACAUCAUUUCAUCUGACAGCGGUCAGAUGAGCCAAAGAGAUGCAGGCCGUUUCCGGGAUGGACAGUCCGGGUGUACGGAAUGUUUUCCCGGGCAGUUAUCCUCCUCACCUGGCUCUCUCUGGGCCUAAUCCCAUACAACGCCCAUGGGAGAUACUGCAUGUCAAAGGUACAUUCUGCUGGCUAGAAUUCUAGCUGGCAGAUACAUUCAAAUAUUUAGAAACACCUUGAUGUUCUCAACUUAAAUAGGUGAGACUGGGUUAAUUAAGCUUGGCGGUAACGUAGAAGAGACGUUUAAAAAAAAAAAAUACUUCUUACACAUACUGUACCUGUAAACUCCUGAUUUUAUCAUAUUUUAAUUAACACAUUUAUUUUUAUAUCCUUGUAAAA